rnacentral:rRNA from 1 species
CCUACGGGCGGCAGCAGUGAGGAAUAUUGGUCAAUGGGCGCGAGCCUGAACCAGCCAAGUAGCGUGAAGGAUGACUGUCCUACGGGUUGUAAACCUCUUUUAUAAAGGAAUAAAGUGAGGCACGUGUGCCUUUUUGUAUGUACUUUAUGAAUAAGGAUCGGCUAACUCCGUGCCAGCAGCCGCGGUAAUACGGAGGAUCCGAGCGUUAUCCGGAUUUAUUGGGUUUAAAGGGAGCGUAGAUGGGUUGUUAAGUCAGUUGUGAAAGUUUGCGGCUCAACCGUAAAAUUGCAAUUGAUACUGGCAGUUGUGAGGACAGUUGAGGUAGGCGGAAUUCGUGGGGUAGCGGUGAAAUGCUUAGAUAGCACGAAGAACUCCGAGUGCGAAGGAAGCUGAAUAAACUGCAACUGACAUUGAUGCUCGAAAGUGUGGGUAUCAAACAGGAUUAGAGACCCCUGUAGUG